GAGUUUGAUCAUGGCUCAGAUUGAACGCUGGCGGCAUGCCUUACACAUGCAAGUCGAACGGCAGCACGGGAGCAAUCCUGGUGGCGAGUGGCGAACGGGUGAGUAAUAUAUCGGAACGUGCCCAGUCGUGGGGGAUAACGCAGCGAAAGCUGUGCUAAUACCGCAUACGAUCUACGGAUGAAAGCGGGGGAUCGCAAGACCUCGCGCGAUUGGAGCGGCCGAUAUCAGAUUAGGUUGUUGGUGGGGUAAAAGCCCACCAAGCCGACGAUCUGUAGCUGGUCUGAGAGGACGACCAGCCACACUGGAACUGAGACACGGUCCAGACUCCUACGGGAGGCAGCAGUGGGGAAUUUUGGACAAUGGGCGCAAGCCUGAUCCAGCAAUGCCGCGUGCAGGAUGAAGGCCUUCGGGUUGUAAACUGCUUUUGUACGGAACGAAACGGUCCUUUUUAAUACAGGGGGCUAAUGACGGUACCGUAAGAAUAAGCACCGGCUAACUACGUGCCAGCAGCCGCGGUAAUACGUAGGGUGCGAGCGUUAAUCGGAAUUACUGGGCGUAAAGCGUGCGCAGGCGGUUAUAUAAGACAGAUGUGAAAUCCCCGGGCUCAACCUGGGACCUGCAUUUGUGACUGUAUAGCUAGAGUGCGGCAGAGGGGGAUGGAAUUCCGCGUGUAGCAGUGAAAUGCGUAGAUAUGCGGAGGAACACCGAUGGCGAAGGCAAUCCCCUGGGCCUGCACUGACGCUCAUGCACGAAGCGUGGGGAGCAAACACGAUUAGAUACCCUGGUAGUCCACGCCCUAAACGAUGUCAACUGGUUGUUUGGGUCUUCACUGACUCAUUAACGAAGCUCACGCGUGAAGUUGACCGCCUGGGGAGUACGGCCGCAAUGUUGAAACUCAAGGAAUUGACGGGGACCCGCAC
rnacentral:rRNA from 1 species